AACGAACGCUGGCGGCAUGCCUAACCCAUGCAAGUCGAACGAGACCUUCGGGCCUAGUGGCGCACGGGUGAGUAACGUGUGGGAACCUGCCCUUAGGUUCGGAAUAACUCCCCGCAAGGGGUGCUAAUACCGGUUAAUGUCCUCAGACCAAAGAUUUAUCGCCUUUGGAUGGGCCCGCGUUGGCUUAGCUAGUUGGUAGGGUAAAAGCCUACCAAGGCGACGAUCCAUAGCUGGGCUGAGAGGAUGAUCCGCCACACUGGGACUGAGACACGGCCCAGACUCCUACGGGAGGCAGCAGUGGGGAAUAUUGGACAAUGGGCGAAAGCCUGAUCCAGCAAUGCCGCGUGAGUGAUGAAGGCCUUAGGGUUGUAAAGCUCUUUUACCCGGGAUGAUAAUGACAGUACCGGGAGAAUAAGCUCCGGCUAACUCCGUG
rnacentral:rRNA from 1 species